rnacentral:rRNA from 1 species
GAUGAACGCUAGCGGCAGGCCUAACACAUGCAAGUCGAGGGAGAAGCCCUUCGGGGCAGAAACCGGCGCACGGGUGCGUAACGCGUAUGCAACCUACCUUUCACAGGGGGAUAGCCCGAAGAAAUUUGGAUUAAUACCCCAUAAUAUUAUUGGAUGGCAUCAUCUGAUAAUUAAAAUUACGAUGGUGAAAGAUGGGCAUGCGUCCUAUUAGCUAGUUGGAGUGGUAACGGCACCCCAAGGCUACGAUAGGUAGGGGUCCUGAGAGGGAGAUCCCCCACACUGGUACUGAGACAGGGACCAGACUCCUACGGGAGGCAGCAGUGAGGAAUAUUGGUCGAUGGUCGGAAGACUGAACCAGCCAUGCCGCGUGCAGGAAGAAUGCCUUAUGGGUUGUAAACUGCUUUUAUAUGGGAAGAAUAAGGUG